GACGAACGCUGGCGGCGUGCCUAAUACAUGCAAGUCGAGCGCAGGAAAUCGACGGAACCCUUCGGGGGGAAGUCGACGGAAUGAGCGGCGGACGGGUGAGUAACACGUAAAGAACCUGCCCUCAGGUCUGGGAUAACCGCGAGAAAUCGGGGCUAAUACCGGAUGGGUCAUCGGACCGCAUGGUCCGAGGAUGAAAGGCGCUCCGGCGUCGCCUGGGGAUGGCUUUGCGGUGCAUUAGCUAGUUGGUGGGGUAAUGGCCCACCAAGGCGACGAUGCAGAGCCGACCAGGGAGGGUGAUCGGCCAAACUGGGACUGAGACAAGGCCCAGACUCCUACGGGAGGCAGCAGUAGGGAAUCUUCCACAAUGGACGAAAGUCUGAUGGAGCAACGCCGCGUGAACGAUGAAGGCCUUCGGGUCGUAAAGUUCUGUUGUAAGGGAAGAACAAGUGCCGCAGGCAAUGGCGGCACCUUGACGGUACCUUGCGAGAAAGCCACGGCUAACUACGUGCCAACCGCCGCCGUAACAC
rnacentral:rRNA from 1 species